AUUGAACGCUGGCGGCAUGCCUUACACAUGCAAGUCGAACGGUAACGGGCCUUCGGGUGCCGACGAGUGGCGAACGGGUGAGUAAUGCAUCGGAACGUACCUUUCAGUGGGGGAUAACGUAGCGAAAGUUACGCUAAUACCGCAUAUUCUGUGAGCAGGAAAGCAGGGGAUCGCAAGACCUUGCGCUGAUUGAGCGGCCGAUGUCAGAUUAGCUAGUUGGUGAGGUAAAGGCUCACCAAGGCGACGAUCUGUAGCGGGUCUGAGAGGAUGAUCCGCCACACUGGAACUGAGACACGGUCCAGACUCCUACGGGAGGCAGCAGUGGGGGAAUUUUGGGACAAUGGGGGCAACCCUGAUCCAGCCAUGCCGCGUGAGUGAAGAAGGCCUUC
rnacentral:rRNA from 1 species